UCAAGACUGGCCCAUUGAGGAACACCCCCUAUGCUGGGGGAGCUGGCUCCUUGGCUGCUGCUGGUCUUGUGGUCAUCCUAACCUUGUGCUUGACAAUCUAUGGAAUUUCCUCCUUCAAGGAAGGAGAGCCGUCCUCCGCGCCUGCUUUGACAUUAACUGGUCGGAAGAAGGAGCCCGACCAGCUUCAAACCGCAGAGGGAUGGUCUAAAUUCACUGGCGGCUUCUUCUUCGGAGGCAUUUCGGGUGUCACUUGGGCCUACUUCCUCCUCUAUGUUGUUAACCUUCCUUACUUCUUCAAGUAGACUUGCUUCUUUUUAUCAAACUGUAAUCACUCAUGUCAUGUAUGCUACAUUGUUUGUGAAAUAUAUUUUAUGUUUCAUCACUUUGUCACAACUAACCUAAUGCACUUCAAAUUACCAUGAAUUCACACUUUUAAAAAUGCCAAAAAAGUGCGUGUGUAUGUAUAUGUAUAUGUAUGUAUAUCAGAUAUCAGAUGCCAUAUAAUUAAUUACAAACCCAUAGAUUCAUCAUUCAUUACAGCAUUCAAGCUUCAGAAAAACCAUACUGGAAGAUGUACGUAGCGGGGGUAGACAGAGAAUUCGAUUUCAAUUUGGAUAUCCUACGAACCAGACGAACCCUUGAUCUUAAAUAUAAUCACAUCAUCCCUCCACCACUCUUUUCAACAAAUUUAGAAGAAGAACCAUGGACAAGAGGUGGUACUGCAGCUUCAGAUUGUGAGGGCACAGAGAGCUCAAAUUGCCUCCAAGAAACAGGGGAAACAGAGAGCAGAUCAGGCGAUACGAGAUUAUCCCAGCCCCCAAAGGGGUCAGUUGUUGCAGAGGCAGCGGAAGCUGAAGUGGAAGCGUCCCAACCUAUGUGUGUCACAUGUUUCACAUCCGUUGGACACCCUAUUUCCAUAUCCAUUUCCAGCACUUCUUCCAUAUCAUCCUUGUAAACUAUCAAGGAAAUGGCCACAAGAGUAAGUAAAGAUAAACAAGAUCUGUCGAGGGAGUAGUCACAUUGGCUAGAGCGGAUGUACUCCCCAAAACAAUGAUAACCAAAUCACGCAUUCAUUGAGGCUUACCAAAUUGCUGAGAGAAGUUCUUGAAACCCUUGACGAGCCUAUGAAUACCGAUUGAUAUGUUUGGUUUCGGAAGAGCCAGGGAUCUAAACGAGUUCUUCAUGCUUUCGCCCGUUAAGCUAUCUUCUUCAUCUUCUUCCUCCUCAGCUUCUUUAGUUCCUUUUCAGAAAUCAUCAAAAUAACAUGAAAACAUAAGCUAGCUAGCAAAUUAGAGAGAGAAACACACUGCAUGGAAGUACGUAUAUAUAUAUGAGAGAGAGAGAGAGAGAGAGAGAGAGAGAGAGAGAGAGAGAGACUUAUUGGAGACGGCUUUGUGUCCGGUUUUGAUCUUCUGGGCGGCUGCUGCUUCACGCCGGCAACAGCAACGCUCGAUUCAGAAACGCAACCAAUUGCGUAAGGAAGAAGAAUGAAUCUUUCCAUUCUUUCUCUCAUUUUCCCAUCAAACAACGCAAACAAAAAGAGAGAUGGAAAUGUGGAGAAAUGGUGGUUGGGAAAAUGCAAAAUGGGGAGUGGGAAAAUGGUUUGUUAUAGCAGAAGGGUAUGCGAUGCACUGGCUUUGUUAUCAAGUCACAAUAAUUUUACGUAUGAAAAAGUCAAUCUACAUACGCAAGCAUGUUUGGUAGCGAUGGAGAAGAUAAACACAAAUUAACAUUUGCAAUACUCCAAUUGAUGGUUAUUUUUGGACGUGAUUUAAACAUUAAUUAAGUUGGGUUGAAAAGUUUAACCUAAAUAAUUUACAUAUAAUUCAGAUAAACUAAUUAAAUGUAUACUUUUGUAUACAAUUACUCAAAAGUGGGUAGGGUUCUCCACUUCACUUACCUCUCUUAUAGAUUAAGCUACCAAAUUCCACCUUUCUUUUUCUCUCUUCUCUCCUUUUCUUCCGUUUUCUUAAUUUGGACUCUAGCCUCAUGUAGUGCAUACCAAGGGAUAUUUCUUAUGCAUAAGCAAAGAAGGAGUUGCAUAAAAAGGGAACGCUAAGGUGACAGUGUCUUAAAUCAUUCAUAGGAUGUCAUGUAAGAAAAUUAAAACACUUGACGACAAGUGAUAGAUUUGAGACACUGUCACCUUAGCGUCUCUGUUUUAUGUAAUUCUCUCUCAAACAAUGUUGAUGGCCAGGAAUAUCAACUUGGGUUAUUAGUAUUACUUACAAGUAGGGCAUAUAAUAUAUGAAUGAUUGCAAGGAUAGAAAAUACAGUCGUUGAGGGAAGAAAGUACGUUGUGUCACCACCAACCUUUAUUUAUUUAUUUUUAUUUUUUUGGUCAAUUUGCUCAUACCUUCUGUCCCUGCCUCUGGUUGCAAGACAAACAGCAAUCAACAAACUCCGAGGCUGACUCGAGCAUCGUUUGGCGUGGAACCAAAACAACAACAUGAAUCCUAGAACGUCAUUAUCAUCAACUUUGUACAAAGUCUUUCGUUAACUCUAAGUACUUCAUCGUACACUAGGCCUUUGUCUUACCAGUAUAAUCUACACAGGAGCGGAGAUCAUGUUUAAAAUGAUGAAACGAUAAACGAAUCUCACAAUUAUUUCCCUAUCUGAAUGCUGAUGAGAAGCGUAUUUGAUAAAGUUGCGACAAUCAGUGCAAAUUCCAGAAGCUGUGCUGAUGAUGCCAUAGGCGAUUGCAAGCCCUUUGCGAAAAACGAAAAUGAAUUUUAUAAUGAAUUUAGAACAAUAUUUACGUAAAACGCAAACUUUUUAUAUUUUGCGAAAUAUUUUCAGCAAGUGUUAAGAAUUUUUUUAUAAGGCAUUUAAAAUUGAGUUUACUAUUUAUUAAGCCACAAAUGCACUUUUGAUAGAAUAUUUAAUUCAAAACAAACAAAAAUCUUGAGUGUUAAUUCACGUUUUUUGUUGCAAAAUGUAAAAUUUUUAUUUCUUGAUAUAUUUUUCGGAGCAUUAAGGAAAACAUUAUAAGGCAUUUAGAAUCAAUUUUACGGUUUAUUGAGUAAUAAAUGUAUAUUAGUAUAAUAUUUAAGUCGAAAACUUAAAAAAAAAAGUGAAAAUAUAGUAGUGAAGCCCAAAACAAUGUCAAAAUGAGGUUCCACCCUCAAGAAUAUCAUCGGAAAGUCUUAUACAUUAGUUUUCAAAACUUCACACUGAGGCGAAUGUGAAAAUAAUAUAUUGAAUGAUGAUUUAAGUAUGAAUUUUUAAAACCGACUAAAAUCGUGACACCCACACUUUUUGUGAAAAAUGAAACUUUUUUAUUUUAGUGAAAUAUUUUAUAUGUGCAUUAAGGAAAACUUUAUAAGGCAUUUGGAAAUGGUUUUACUAUUUAUUGAGUAACAAAUGUAUAUUGAAUACAAUAUUUAAGCCGAAACUAAAAAAGUAAGUGAAAAAUAUAGUGGUGAGGCCUAAAACAUUGUCAAAAACAGGUUCCACCCUCAAGAAUACCAACGGAAAGUCUUACAUUAAUUUUCAAAACUUCAUGGUGAGACAAAAGUGAAAAUAAAUAGAUUGAACGAUGAUUUAAGUACGACUGAGUGAGGAUCGGUUGCGUGGUACCGAUCUUUCCCUAUUCCAAUUUAUUUACUUUAUUUGAGUAACCACUAUUAAAUUCAAUUAUCUUUCAAUUUAGGUUUUAAAUCGUUGAUUAUAAGUGCUUAAAUAUGAAUUAUAAUAGAUUUUGCACGAAAAAAUAUUUUUGAAGAAUAUGAAGAUGAUAGUUUGUUGUUAUGAUAAGAGAAAUAAAAGAAAAAUUAACAAAAUUAAACACAAAAAACUUUGAAAAGUGGGAAUCGGUAGGAUGCUAGCGACUCGUAAGGAAUUUAGUCACUAUAUUAAUAGUGACUUAUCUUCUUAAUAAUCGCUAUAUUUUUAGCGACUAUUCUUUAGAAAUUGGUCACAAAGUACAGAUUGUUUCAUUUUCUAUUAAUUUCUUUUUCCCUUUUUCCAUUUAAUUUUUUUCUUCCUAUCUUACUUUAUUUAUAAUUCAAAUAUUUUUAGAUUUAUAUUUAUAUCCUUGUUUUCAAUUGUUUUGACAUGGAUUAUAAGAAAAUCUUCACCGAAAAUACAUUUUUUAGAGCAUGGAGAUGAUAAUUUGGGGUUACGGUAAGGGAAAAAAGAAAAUUUUAACAAAAAGAUAAAAUAGCAGCUUAUAAAUGUCCCACCCACGGCAACAAUGUUUCGUCCAACCAACUAUAGUUGACCCCUAAGAUUAAAACUAGACUCUACCCCUAUUGAUGGCGGCUUAUAAAUGUCUCUACCCCUAUUGAUGGCAGCUUAUAAAUGUCCACCCCGGCACCAAUGCUUCAUGCAAGCAACAAUCGUCCAUCCAUGAGAUUAAAACUAAACCCUACCUCCUAUAAAUGUCUUACCCUCGGUACCAAUGGUUUGUACGAGCAGCAAUGGUUGACUAGUGCGAUUAAAACUAAACCCUAGCCCAUAUUGAUUGCGGAAUAAAUAGUAAUGAGGCCCAAAAUGUUGCUACAUAGGGUUUCACACUCAAGAAUAUCAAUAAAAAGCCUUACAUGAGUUUUCGAAACCGCAUGGUGAGGUGGAGGUGAAAGUAAAUGGAUUCCAUAAUGAACUGUGUACAAAAUUACAAAACCGACUAAUAAUUAGUGGAAUAAAUAGUUGUGAGGCCCAAAAUAUUGCCAAUAUAGGUUCCACUCUCAAGAAUAUCAUUGGAAAGUUUUGCACAAAUUCUCAAAUUCUACGGUGAGGCAUAAGUGAAAGCAAAUGGAUUAUAUGAUGAAGUUUGUACAAAAUUGUAAAACUGACUAAAUAGCGUUAGUGUUAGCACAUGUUUUUUUUUUCUUUCCAGAAAAAAGUCUAAAUUUUUUACUUGGACAAAAUAUUUUUCUUAUGCAUUAAGGUAAACUUUAUAAGCAUUUAAAAUUGGUUUUACCAUUUAUUAUUAUUGAGCUCAAAUGUGUUUUUAAUAUAAUAUCCAAGAACUACACAAUGAAGUGAAAUAAAGAAUAGUGAGCUUCAAAAUGUUGCCAAAAGAGGGUUUCUUCCUAAAAAAAUAUCAACGAAAAGCCUCCUUUUUGGCUAUUUGUAGGUGAGAUUUUUAAAUGUAAUCGGAAUAGAAGAUAGUACACCACGUGUUAUUAUACAAAUAGUGAGACAUAUAUGUUAAAAAGUUAAUAACUAAAAAAAAUACAAUUUGCCACCACUUAUAUAAAAACAAAUGGUGUACCAGUACCCUGGUCACGAUGAAAAAUUUCUCUAUUUGUAGGACAUGAAGCAACCAAUCAUGAAUAGAAUGAAGUCUCUCUUUCGAACACGUUACUGAUUUCAUUUUUCGCUUACAGACAUUGUCACGAGCAACUGGCCUAUUCCACGUAUGCGGUUUUUUCGGGUAAGAGCUUUCCACUUUGAUUCAUCUCAUAUGAGGAUGAGAUAAGACCAUGUAAUUGAAAACGUUUGUAAGAAAAUGGGUGUACAUUUUCUUUCGUGGUAUGCAUCAUUAACAAUGGGGCAAUGCAACCGAGGAGGGACACAACUAAUAUCACUGUAUAGUAUAUGCUAUCAUUUUACAAACGAAUCAGAAUGAUAUAGAAAAACAAAAUGCGUGGAGCAUUCAAGGCUCUUAAAAGAAUCUGGUUAGCCUAGGGUUCACAGUUUGCACUUACAGAGGAGGAUAAAAAUAUGACGACACGGAGAAGCAUAGGAAGAGCAAGCCUCCAACUGUAGCGACUGUCCGUUGGGAGAUUUUGGAUGCCAACAUACUCCCUCCUACCACAGCCACAGACGUGCAGACUGUAUGUCCUAGUGUUGCACCCACCGCAACUCCAAUCGCAUUUUUGUGGGUUGCCAGCUGCAGGGUUCAAAGAUACUCAUCUCAGUUCAAGAGGAAAAAGUAUGGACUAAAUAUAACAUUAACUAUGAAGGGGGACUUAUAAUAUAUCAGUUCAAAGAUAUUCAUCUUACAGCAAUUGUCGCUAUUUGGCUGCGAUCUCCCCACUCUGCUAAAAAUGUUAAAAUGAAAGACUGCAAGAGCAAACAGAAUUAAGUUAGUACUGAAGGUUAUCAUAAGACUUCAAACUAACAGCUCAAAAGGUCUAAGCUGUAUGAGUUGAUUCUCAACAUCGCUAGCUAUAGAAUAAGAUAUGGAUCAUAUUUGCUACAAGCAUGCGCGACAAGUAUAGUUAAAAUAAACCAUAUCAGUCAUACCUCCAAGAAGAUAGGUGUACAAAAUCUGGAAAAGAAACGGCGGAAGGGUGUCUUUCCCUGUCCAGACUCAAGUUUCUCUUCAACCUGGAUAUAUCGGAUGCCAAGCAAAUUUAGACAACAAAUCGACUGAAAAUAGACUAGUGGACGGACAAAAUUCAUGUUGUAAGUUCAUAAAUGUGAUGAAAUCAAGAGGAUAUAAAAAGUGAUCAGACAUCAGGAAUAAUGCAGGCAAACAAUUUAAAACAAAUAUGAAUUCUAAUAGAUUAUUCCCAAUUCUCCUAAAUGCCUAGUCCUUCCAUGGCUAACUCAAGCGAAACCAAAGACCCUAAAAAAUUUUAAACAUACGACACCAAUUUACUCAAUGUCAUCAGCCUACUUUAUGCUAAUGUCAUCAGCCUACUUUAUCAGUUGCACAAUUGAGGUAAAGUUGUUUUGCAGUCUUUAUCACUAUACAGAUGAGGUUUUUUUCCGGAGGUUUCUGAAGACCUCCCCCGUUCACAUGUUCCUUCAAAAGCAUCAAAGCAAUUCUUGAAAUAAUUUAAAUAUUGCUUUAUCCAAUCUAAAGUUGAAUAUUAUGAUCCAAAACUGGGUAGUACAAUUUGCUACUUUACCAUCCAUCUAUCUAGAGAUCAUAAAUAAACACAAAUCACUUAAAGGCUAAAAAGUGAAAACAUUUGAUAAACUUACUUCUUCAAUUUCUUUCUUCUGGGAAGAUUUAGAAUCUGAUGAUCUCCAAGCAAUGUAAAGUAACCUCAGUCCAAAAAAUAAAUAUAGAACUGCAAAGAAAAUAGAAUUAGAAAACUCAAUUUACUAUCAAACAUUGAAGCAAGAAAAUGUGUCUAUGAUUCUAUUGCCACAAAAAAAUAUGGAAAAUCCAAUUCUCAUAAAAUUUCUUAGUGGUCAAGUAACAAAAAGAAUGGGUAGCUUUACCUGUAGCUGCACUAUUUGUAUGCUUCCUUGAUAUCAAGUUUGGCACAAUCCUACCAAGUCCAGUAGAAAGUACCUAAUUGACAAACAAAACAACUUAAAUCUUGAUCAGAUCAAUGGUAACAAAUUGCACUUUUCAGUUUUUGAAACCAUUUUGUCAUGGAAACAAAUUGCACAUUAGAACCACUAAAAGAGAGCAGAGAUAUGGAAGGGGAAACGUUAUUAUACUUAUUUCCACAACAGAAAUGAAAGAUAAGAUAACUUACCGUCAUUAUAAACAAGGCGGAAAGUGCACCAGAUAGGACAAUUGACCUGGGGUGACGCAUUGCCAUAAGAGCUGCUAUCAUAAAUGUUUCAUCUCCAAUCUAGUAGCAGUUAUCAAUUAGGAAAAAUAUUAGUUGAAUCACCAUAGCUCUCCUAGUUAUACAGAUUCAAAAACAUAAAAUAAAAACAGCACCACCAUGCAAGCUUGAUCAUCUGUUUAUACACUUGACCUGGUUCUAAGCCAUUGAAUUUCAUUCUAUUAUUAUGGGAUCACUGAUUACUAACUGAACAAGGAGGUGAGAACCUCUCCUAAAUUACCACAACUUUCAAAGUAAAAUUGACCUAAACAAGAUUGGAAAGUUUGUGCACGAACCUCACUAACUAAAAUCAUUGACAAACUUGCGAUAAAGGCAUCGAAAACUCCAAGCCCCGAGUCCACGUGGAGGCCGAUAGCAACUGAGUCGCCCUCUGUCUUGACUCCAAGAGUAUUAACUUCAAGAAUACCCAAUUUUAUCUGCACAAACAAAUUGACAUAGUAUUAACAAUGGGAUUCGAAAAACAAGAUACAGAAUCUUCCAUUUAAAAAAUACAAUUGAGUGUUAUGCAUACAGGCCACAAAACUCCAUCCAAAUACCCCAACAAAAGCAUGAAACUAUAAACGAAUCGAAUACUAAUUUUGCACAAUAGAACUAAAUCCAGUUUAGUUUCGUCCGAAUUUCAGACCUACAAAGCCCCACUUCCAAAUAACUGUAUCCAAGCUUCUAAAGCAUCAAACUACAAAUCAAAUCAAAUCAACUAACAAACUUACUUUACGCAACACUACCUAAUUCGAUGAACAUACAAUUGAAUGUUAUACAAGCUACCAACUCCCCCACUCUAAACAGUUCUUGCAGUAUCACAUUGUAACUUGCUUACAAUCAGAGAAGAGAAACAUGACCCAACAGAUAAAUAAUGGUUAAGAAUUGUUUAAUGUCUUCGUUCCUCAUCAAUUUUCUCAGUAACCAAACAGAUUGUAAUGAGAAAGAGAGGGUGAUUGUCAAACCUUACUACGACGGCCCAGAUUUUUGGAUCCCCUAGAGUCUCCCCUCUCAGCUUCAGCCCCAGACUCCUAAUCACCCAACAAAUCACCACAAUUAGAAUCAUAUAUAUCUAUAUGUAUGCAUACAGAGAGAGAGAGAGAGAGAGAGAGAGAGAGAGAGAGCUACCUGAGCAGAAACGGCGAGGAGGAGGAGCAAGAGGAGGGGGAGGGAGUACGCAAUCGUUCUGAGAAUCGAGCGAAACUCCAUGACAGCAGAAAUUGGAAGGUAUGAAGCUGCGAUGGGUAGACGAUGCAAUCAGAGGGGAAAAGUUUAGGGGGGAUUUUCUCAGGAAAAUGGAUCUGAAUCCUUGCUUAGUGGUUUACUGAGAUCCUACGUAAAGCCUGUAGAAAGUGGAGAGAUCCGACGAGAGACGGAGAGGGAGAGAUCUUUGCUGAAAGCGAAGAUCUCUACAAGUAUGAAGGUUUCACAUAUUAAAAAUUUAAAAUAGUGGAAGGGACUCCCUUCUCAAACUCUCAGACAGAGAAAGAUUUGACCCCAUAAAGUGAAAAACGGACGACGUUAAACAUAUUGACUUACACAUUAUCAGAGUUUUGAUACUUUGCAAUAUAAUGCGAAUCAAUCGUACAAUUUGAUCUCACUAGUAUCAAUAUGACUUAUACAUUACCCUAACAAUAAAUUUCAUAUCUACCACAUCAUCAAUUUAACGAUUGACUGUAUGUUCAAACAGACUUAAUGACAUAUUUUACAUCUAUAUUGCUUGUCACACGGUUAAACAUAUUGAAUGUAUAAAUUGAUAUGAUUUCCAAAGUAAAACUACAUGACCAAAUUGAGAAAAUUACCUCAAACUGCUGUAUAUAAUGGAGUUAGCCUGCACUAACUUGUAUACAAAAUUUCGAAUGAAUAAUUCUCGAUGUCACGUACUAUAGUAAAGUCCAUAUUAAUUACAGAAUGUUUCAACAAUAUAGAUGAUUUUGUGUGCUCAACUACAUUAUUGAUUUUGUAAAGAUAUUUACAAACUCACGAUAAUUAGGUCUCUUUCAAGAGUCCAAUUUCUACUCAGAAGUUGAAUUCGUGAUAUGGUGUGGGACUCCCUUGUGUUGUCAUCUUCACAUAAGCAAUCAAUGCACAAGUAAUCCACAGUCGGAAUUCACAUGUCAUUAGGUAAAAUGGUUUUAUUAAAGUUGCGCGUAAGGUACGUACUUGUUCACGUUUAUUGUAUGUUCAGUUUGAAUAGUCCAAUACAACUUUGAAAAGAACGCUUAUGAAUCACGCUUAUUGUGCUUUUAUACACAUAAAUCAUUGGACAAAUCAACUUCAUACGUUACCAAGAGCCGAGUCUUUCAAAUAGUAAUAAUAAAAUAACAUAAUUGUACUUUUGAGUCGUUUAAAAGAUAUUCGAAUUCAAAUGCACAUCACAUAUAAAAGAUGUAAGGCACCAUAUGAAGAUCUUAUUAUGGUGAAGUAUAGUGAUCAAUGCAUACACAAACACAUGAGUCAAUCGCUCUUCAAUUGGAAGUGGAAAUAAUGGAUCAAUUGGGAGGGCCACUUGGUAAUUCCACCAAGCAUCUACAACCAACCAAAUUGGUGUGAGAGGGUAGAAGAAAGCUCACUGCAUAAAUCCGAAGGCCGAAGGACAAAUAGAAAUCGUCCACGCGUACACUUCUAAUCGUCUUCCUUUUUUUGUCCCUCUUCAAAAAAAAAAGAUGCGAUUGCAAAAACAAAAAAGGAAAUGCCAGUGAGGGCCCAAACUUGGGCCUAACCCAACCCAUCUGAGCCGCUCGACCAAUCAGGUUUGAGGGGAAUGCGUUCGAGCUGCCGCCACUUUUGAAUGGUGACAGCGAGAAGUGAAUCUCCGCCGGUUAAGACUUGAAACGGCCCCGCCUCUUCUCUCCUCUUACGCCCCGGCGGAUUCCUCGUGUUGCCACCAAAUUCCACCUUGUUUUCCCUCCAACUUUCACUACUCCCACCCCCACUCAUUUCAUUUAUGUAUGGAUUUUGUUUGUUUUUGGUGUACUAAUAUCUAGUUAUUCUAUUUUUAAUUUAAUUUAACAAAAAAUAUAAACGAGUAAUGAAUGACUCCAUAUAAAAUGUUUGAAACAAUUUUUUUUUCUUUCUUAUUGGGUUACAAAAGAGGACAAAUUUGAAGAUAUCGAUCAAACAAAUAACUCAUUAUGCUAUAUGUCAUCGUUAAACCCACCAAAAAAGAUAAUCCACUCGCUCAACAGAACAAUAACCGCUCCAAAUAAUUGUGCAAACGGUGCAUAGGUAAUAGAUUUAGCUAGAAAAAUAUAUGGAUGUCUUGACAACGUCAUUCGUCAAGCAACUAUCAUAAAAGUAAAAGCAUGAGAGCUUUACUAAUUAAAUAAGCAGCAGCCUACAACAAAUCUUGUCAUGUUUAGCACCACCGAACGUUGGUGGCAAGUCGAACUCAUACGUUGAGCAAGGAGAGCGACAACCUUGUCUAAAGCCAAUAAUGCAAAGAAGGGAUGUAAAGGUGCAAAAUCUCAGUACCAAAAUUAGGGCAGAAACAAAUUAGAAGAGCUUCCGAAAAGUAAUUAAAUCCAUUGCAUAACAUAAAGUGGGAGAAAUUGACAUGUUGCUUUUUACAGGAUUGGCAGGGAGUAGCUAGAUAUGAUCUUGAUGGUUAAAUAACUAAAACAAAUAUGCAUGGUUACCCUUCAUAGAGGGCACAAAAACCAUAUUUAUAGUACAUUUACAUAACCCUUUUUACAAGCUUGAUUAUCUCACCUUAAUUAUU
rnacentral:lncRNA from 1 species